CAAAAACAUAACAGUAUGGCAGUGAUAUGCUGCGCCCCCUGCUCAAUGAAAUUUAAAUAGCCGCAGUACCUUGACUGUGCAAAGGUAGCAUAAUCAAUUGGCCUAUAAUUGAGGUCUGGAAUGAAUGGGUGAAUGGAUAAACGCUGUCUUCAUUCUAUUACAUAAAAGUUUAUAAGUAAGUGAAAAUGCUUACAGCAUAUGAAAGACGAGAAGACCCUAGAAAUUUUUUAAAAUAUGUAAUAUUUACUAUUUUGUUGGGGCGACAAAACAACAUAUAACUUGUUUUUAAAUAAAUAAGAAUUUUUUAUUAGGUGAAAGUAAAUUACUCUAGGGAUAACAGCAUAAUUUCAAAGAGUUUGUGACCUCGAUGUUGGACUAGGGUGAAUGUCACUCAAAAGGCGCCAUUUUAUGUUCUGUUCGAACAGCCGACCCUACAUGAUC
rnacentral:rRNA from 1 species